UCCUCGGUAGUAUAGUGGUGAGUAUCCCCGCCUGUCACGCGGGAGGACGGGGUUCAAUUCCCCGCCAGGGGU
rnacentral:tRNA from 1 species